GGGUCAGUAGGUUGGUCGUGCCACCGGUACGUACUGGUCUCACUGAUUCCUCCUUCCUGAAGAACCGUAAUGCCAUUAAUUUGGUGUUGCGGGGAAACAGGACUGUUACUUUGAAAAAAUUAGAGUGUUUAAAGCAAGCUAACGCUUGAAUACAUUAGCAUGGAAUAAUGGAGCAGGACGAUCGAUCCUAUUUUGUUGGUUUCUAGGAUUGACGUA
rnacentral:rRNA from 1 species